rnacentral:lncRNA from 1 species
AAGCUUAAUAGAGUGACCAAGCUAAGACCUUAGACGAAGAGAGUGUCCAACCAAUCACGACAAGCAGCCCUGCACUAAGCAAGUCGUAGUCCCAGCUUUUUUUCUCCUUCGAUAGAGUUGGAUUGGAAGAGUCAGCCUGCGGGGUAAGCCUUUUCACGUGUGCGCAUUAUUGUUGAUUUCUCUCUUUUUUCUGGAGUAAGAAAUCCAAUAGGGAUUCAAAAUCUACCAUAACAUAAGGAGAGGAGGUAGAGCAAUAGCUUGGGUUGACCCUCUUAAUGAAGAUCGAUCUGGCAGAGGAGAAGUAGAUCCAUUCAAGUCCAAAGCAAGGUGG